GUACCUAUAAAAGAAAAUGGAAUAAAAUAUUAAACUCGUGUCUAGAGUUGUUAAUUGGAAAUUAUUUGAUAAUGAAAAUGCUCAUACUGCUAAUAUCAUACAAUAUACUACAUAUGUGGAUAAAUUUGUGCUUUUGAAAAUGUAUCAUCGAAAUGUACGCGUGGCCUUAGCUACAUACAUUGGCCACACAAAGCGACAGCAAAUGCCGUCCGGUGUAGGAGUUUGUGAGCCAUCAAAAUAUUGCGCAACUGUGUUGCCAAAACGGUACACUCGUACAUAAUGUCUUUUGCUUUGCGCUCAUUGUAGGAGUGUGGGAUUUUGGCAUUUUGUCGACUUAUGUCGGUUGUCGGUUUAACGCACGUCAGUUGGAGGUCGCCACCAAUUGGCGAAGAAAGUUGCAUAAGUCAUGGACAAACUAAAAAUUAUGGUUUCGAACCAAGGCUUAACUUUGUCAGGUUAUUGAAUUCCCUCACUAUUAUUGUAGCGAACAUAUCAUAACUGAUAAUAUCAUGAUCAACAUUAUGAAAUAUUAAUAUUUCCAAGCCACCGCCACCUACAAGCCCUCAGCUGAAAGCUACAGUUAUUCAAAUAUUGUAUUGUUUUGACGUCAAAACCUGUCUUUAUUUGCAUUAAUUUUUAUUUCAUUAUUUUUUUUUUUUUGCAUCUAUGCCUUCAACUUUAAUAUCGUUCCAUUUGAGAACGUCAGCAGCAGAACGUGUUGUUUGGUGGGAAAAAAGUAGAUUAAUUAAUUUGAAUGUUUUAAGCGAGAUCUACAUAUAAACCCAAAAAAAAAAAUGAAAUAACAAAAUAAAUGUUUUCAAGUUCUCACGACAACCGGGUGCGGUGGCUGGAAUCAACCGAAUUGAUUUCGUUCAAACAAAUUAGUUUUAGGAUAUUUAAAAAAAUUAAAUAACAAAACCGGUGAAUGCAAUAAAUAUUGUUGUGGAUUUUGUACAAAACUUCUACUGAUUACAUUGCAUAAAUGCUCAAAACAACUUGCCAUAAUAGACGAUGCAACAACAUUCCUAAAACAGCUGCUUCUGCUGAAACAGCACCGAACGACGACAAAAUGAAAUCUCAGAAAGACACUGGAUACAGAUGCAUUCACAAUAUCACAACGACUACUUGCUUUCAACUUUCUCAUAUUUUGCACACAUACGCUUCGCUUAAUUACUAACGCUACAUGAGGAAAAUGGAAAUGAAAUCAAAUACAACAAAUUAGAUCGCAAUCAACACACAUUUUAUACAAUACCUAGUAACGUACCCAACUUCAAGGCGGAUAAAAGCAUCAUAUUUGCACCAGUUGAUUCGUACAGAUGAUAGAUGCACUUGCAGCCGGACGCAAGGUGUUGAACAACAACAACAAAUACAAAUACAAGCACAAACACAAUAGUUUUCACUUUCAAUUUAUGUUUUUUAUUUCGUUUUUGUUUUUUUUUUUUGCUGACCGUCUACAGCAAUUGAAUGAUGAAUUUGCAGGGAAACGCUUGCCGUUUGUUGCAGGCGCACACUUGGCAAUAGCGCUUUGUUUGCCUUUUGCUUUGCUUUCCUCAAUUCACUGUCUGGAGCGGGUAUGAUCUGCGACUGCUAACGGCAAGUGAAAAGUGAUCGUGAGGGUGCGAAUGUAUUGGUGAAUGCAUAUAAAUUUCGCGCGCGUUAACUACAUACACCUAUAUGCAGAGGGUGUUUGUUUAGAGUUAUAGAAGUUUUAUUGUAGAGAAAUAAAGGGAAAAUUAUUUGUUAGUCUACUUUUAGGACAUUUAGCGUUGGAAUAGUAUCUACCCAAUAUUGGGACGAAUGUUGCAAUUGCUCAAAUUUAACAAAUUUAAUUUUAACUAGGUUCAAGAAGCACCAAUGGAUGCUGAAUUUCUCAUAAAGACACCCUUUUGUUCAGUAUCACAGUUUUGUGGUUCUAUUGAAACAUAAAGUUAGCACCCAACUAAAUUGUGCGUUGGGUUUAAAAGGCACACAAGCAUAUGUUUCUAAGCAGCAAAUGGUUACACUUGCGCGAUCACCUUCAAACACAGUUCACCAAUGAGCCAAACACCAUAAAAGCCGUAACGCACACGAACGCUAUAUGCAUUCGUCCGUAAUUAUUUUAAGACAUUAAGUUGGAUGGGUUAUAAAAAGAAGAAAAAAAUAAAUGAAGUAAUAACACUUGAAGAACACCACAUCAGCAAGGCACUCCGCGGUAAUUAUAUUGACUGAGCGCCAUCUUCAAAACGUAUACAUAUGUAUCUGCAUAUGUAUGUACAUAACCUAGCAUAUAUUUGUGUAUAUUUUUGAAGAAACUAGAAGCAACACAGCGUAAAACAACAAAGGAAUUAAUUUGUAUUUCAACAUUCGAGUGGAAAAGAGAAAAAGUCAUUUGGAAGUACAAGAAAUUAAAGUUAAAAAAUACAUAGAAUCCGCUCACGGUACAGGGUGCUGUUUUCCUCGGUUAAUUUUCGAUUGAACCUGCAAUUUUUUUAGUUUUCCACUUGGUUUUUGUUUGGAUCCAACUUGGCUAAUUCAGCCUUUUUAAAGAAACGGUUAACUUUCAGGUAAAACUUUGGAUUUUCGCCAUUGGGUUAAAUUGGUAGUAAGUAUAUUUUAGUAAUUAUUUUUUCAACCUUUGCACAUACAUAGGCGCAUUUGAAAAAUAAAUACCGUUUUCAUCGACUUAGCAAAAUGGCUAACCGUCGAAGGCUUUUCACUUCACUUUUGCAAACACAUUCAGUCUAUUGCUUCAGUCUACGUAAACUACGUAUAUUACGUAUAUACACACUAUGCGUAGUGCAAUUUUCCACUCUGCAAGCAAAAUUGUUGCUUUGUUGUAAGAAAAAUGGCUGCUUUUUGAAAGUACGAAUGCGUUCACAAGCCUUUCGCACAAUCGCUCUCAUUUAAUCAAAUAUUAUAUAUGCGUUAAUUAAAUCCUUUGAUUUUUCUAUUAUUAAUAAUCGGGUUUGAACGUCGCCAAUGCUUUAGCUUUAGAUUCUUUUAAGCCAUGAAAAAUACUAUAUAUAUAUGCAAAGGUGUAUAUAUGUCUCCGAUGGCAUUGCACAACGAUUUGCACGACGAUCUUCUAUUAAUAAAAGUUAAAACUCAACUGGGCAAGAAGAAGAAACAUAAAUAGUAACCAACCUGCCAACCUGUUACUGCUGUUAGUGCUGCCUGUCUAUGCAUCUAUUGCGGUCGUUGUGGUUGCUGUUGUUGCAUUCAUUGUUCAACUGUUCACAGGCCACUUCAGCAGAGAGCUGUGAGCUGUGAGCGAAGUCAGGCACAGAUUUAGUUGCGCUUAAAUUGAGUUACUAUCAGGAGACAAUAGUCAACGGCAACGCCAGUUGGUGCGACAGUAGCUGGCCGAAACGGUAAAAAAGUGGAAAAACCACUUUGUACAUUCAAACAAACUUAAGUGGAAGUAUCUCAACUUUCAUACACAAUGCGUACUGCAAACACACACACACACAUCUAUAUAUAUACAUAUACAUAUUGUUGUUAUGUUCGUGUGUGUGUGUGUGUGUGUGGUGGUAGUAUAAAAAAUAAACUUCAACAAUUUGUACAAAAUACUCAGCGCACGGCUGUAUAUAUCUGGUAAUACGACAACAGCAAUAGCAACAAGCAGUAACAGCAACAACAAUAACAACAAUAACAACGGCAAUGACAAACAAGCAAAACUCGCUUCUGGUUUCGCAGCUCAAUAGUACACACACACACAUAUAUAUAUAUAUUUAUAUAUUUCUAUAGAGUUAACACACGCAUACGCACAUACCAAAUAAAAAUAAGUUAAAGACGUCAGCAACAGCUGCGACCAAACAACAAUAUUUGCCUAACUUUGGGAACAUGCUGUUACCGCAAUAAUAAAUAAUCUGAAAAUCAACAGAAAUGCUGAAGGCAAGCAGCAGGACCAACAUUGCUCCAGUACCGACAACUGUCAGGCUUGGAGACAGCCUUUGCACAUUUCCUGCUGGGAACAUAUUGUGUGACUUAUACUGUUAGUAUACUUAUACUGAUUACUUGAAAAAACCUAACUUCUUAUCUGUAAUAUUUAAGUAUGUACAUACCUUUUGAGCUUGGCAGACAUUGUCCGACAUUAUUCCAAAAAUUUAAACGACAGCCAAACACUUUCAUUUCUUUUACACGUUCUUUCAUAUUGCCCAGCACACUGGUUUCCGUGAAGCUGACACACGGAAUCAUUUGCGCACCACAAGAUGUUGAUUAAUUGUUUAGCCGACUCUGCAUAAAUUCGGCUUUCAUUACCACGGUACUACCGAGUAAGCUUUGCUUAAUGUUUAUAUUUUCUUUUCUUUAGUAACUAAUCGCGUUCGCUAGAAUCGAUUUUU